rnacentral:rRNA from 1 species
CCUACGGGCGGCUGCAGUGGGGAAUAUUGGACAAUGGGGGGAACCCUGAUCCAGCCAUGCCGCGUGUGUGAAGAAGGCCCUCGGGUUGUAAAGCACUUUCAGUGAGGAAGAACGCCUGGUGGUUAAUACCCAUCAGGAAAGACAUCACUCACAGAAGAAGCACCGGCUAACUCCGUGCCAGCAGCCGCGGUAAUACGGAGGGUGCGAGCGUUAAUCGGAAUUACUGGGCGUAAAGCGCGCGUAGGUGGCUUGAUAAGCCGGUUGUGAAAGCCCCGGGCUCAACCUGGGAACGGCAUCCGGAACUGUCAAGCUAGAGUGCAGGAGAGGAAGGUAGAAUUCCCGGUGUAGCGGUGAAAUGCGUAGAGAUCGGGAGGAAUACCAGUGGCGAAGGCGGCCUUCUGGACUGACACUGACACUGAGGUGCGAAGGCGUGGGUAGCAAACAGGAUUAGAUACCCUGGUAGUC